GCUCUGGCAGGGAAAGUGAUACCCUAAGACAGAGUCUGUGCCCCUCUCCUUCAGUUGUCAAACUAUUGAGACAAUGGACUCCAAAGAAUGAAAAAUUCCCCCAAAUACCAUGCAUGAGGAGGGAGAGCUAAAGCCCUAGCACUAGCCGCAGGAGGAAAUGGCUUUAGGAAGAGAUUUCACACAGUUCCAGCAUCUUACCCCACAAUUCAAUGAGCUUAUAUAUACUUCCUGGGUUUUGUGUCACAAGGAUUUUACCACCACCUCAGAAAAGACCGAAGCCUGUCUCCUAUUUACAGGGAUGGCCAAACUGUACAUGAAUCCAUUUUCUUUUGUCAAUUUCAGCUCCCUCAUUUGUUUUAAAACACAGGGAAACUGGGAUCAGGUUUAUGAACCUAAGUGCUCAGUAACAGAAGUACAGAUCUGAGAAACCUAAAAGGGGAAAAUACUGACCUGUGGACACUCAGGCCGGUCAUGGUCAGACUAUUUAAAAUCAAUAAUAAUGAAAAACAUAGGCAGAGAAAAGUAACUGAACAUGAACAAAACAUAAUAAUGUAUGUGUAUGAAAAUGAGAGGAUGGAACACAUUAUUUUGUAUGCUAAGAUAAAAUGUAAUUUAAAAACAGUGAAAGUAUAAUAUGACUGUAAAAACUACAGCAAACUAAACUUUACAAACCAUACAAGUCACAAAAUAAUAGACUAGAUGUAAAGUACUUAAAAAUAAGUUAUGAAAAAUAAAUCUCUCAAGUCAGACUACAUCCAGUAAAAACAACUUCCAGAAAUAAAGGUGGAGGAAAAUCAAUUUCAGACAAACAAAAAUAGGGAAUUCAUAAUAUAAUAGCAUAUAUACCCAACAUAAUACUUUUAACAUCAUAAACGGAACUGCAUGAUGCAGUGAGUCAUAUAAAGGGAAAACAUCAAGGCAAAUAUAUACAACUGCCUUUAUUUUGAAUUGUAUGAAAGCAUCACUACCCAUUCAAGCCAACAAUAACAGCAGCAAAGCAGAAGCAAUGUCUUAUGGAGCUUACGACACAUGCAGAGGGAAUACCAAUAAAUCCUAGCACGAAUGAAGAGGACUGGAGUACAUCAUGAGCCUUGAAGAUGAUGUGCUAAGUAGUAUAAACUGUGUGGAGUUAAGUAGGACAGUUGAAAAUGUAUAUUUAUAAGUGUGCAAUAGUCACUAAAAUGUUUAGUUAAAGAGGUGGAACCAAAAGGCCUGUAGGGUAAAAUACAUGGGAUGCUGAGAUCCAGACUUAGAUUCCGACUUAAUUAGCCCAAGAGAAGAUUUGGCAGUCAUGCAUUACAUGUCUCUGCAACUGUCUAUGCCCAGCUGGUCUAAAAAUAAACACCAUUUUAUGGGAAGACAUCAGAAAACCUUUGAAAUGGGAUAUACUAACAAGAGGGGAAACGAUAUCAAUAAUAUAUUUAUGGUUUUACAUAAUACAGUAACCACUAAAGAAUCAUAUAGAUAUGGUAAGGGUUAUUUCCAUUUCACUAAUAGAGAAUUUGGAGUUGCAUGAGAUUAACCUGUAACUUGCCUAGAACUAUUCACCAUGCCUGAACCUAACAGGAAUUAAAUCAGAAAUUCACUCCACCAGCCGACACCAGGAGUAGACAGGCAAGAGAAGCAGCACUCAAACAGGCAGCUGACUCUCAGGUGUGUGAGCGCAAGACUCCACUAAUUAUUCCUGCCACUCAGCACAACUUCUCCACAGCCUGCCGACACUGGUGACAGGUUCCCAAGUCCCAGUGGACGGACAGUGGAGCUAAAAGAUUGAGAAGAACUCCUGUGAGACAGCGAAUUUAUCUGCAGCAUUGAUCAAACUAGAGCCAACCCAGACAGAAACAAACAACAAAACAUGGCUGAAACCUCAUUUAUAGAAUGAAAAAUCUGUCGUACUGGGAUACUUUUACCAGUUAGAGGUUUUCAGUGGAUUGGAAAA